AGAGUUUGAUCCUGGCUCAGGACGAACGCUGGCGGCGUGCUUAACACAUGCAAGUCGAACGAAGCAUAUCGAGAUGAAGUUUUCGGAUGGAAUCAUGAUAUGACUGAGUGGCGGACGGGUGAGUAACGCGUGAGCAACCAACCCUAAAGAGGGGGACAACAGAUGGAAACGUCUGCUAAUACCGCAUAAGACCACGAGAUCGCAUGAUCAAGGGGUCAAAGGAGAAAUCCGCUUUAGGACGGGCUCGCGUCCCAUUAGUUAGUUGGCGGGGUAACGGCCCACCAAGACGACGAUGGGUAGCCGACCUGAGAGGGUGAUCGGCCACACUGGAACUGAGACACGGUCCAGACUCCUACGGGAGGCAGCAGUGGGGAAUAUUGGGCAAUGGGCGCAAGCCUGACCCAGCAACGCCGCGUGAAGGAAGAAGGUCUUCGGAUUGUAAACAUCUGUCCUGUGGGACGAAACAAAUGACGGUACCACAGGAGGAAGCCCCGGCUAACUACGUGCCAGCAGCCGCGGUAAUACGUAGGGGGCGAGCGUUGUCCGGAAUUACUGGGCGUAAAGGGUGCGUAGGCGGAAAAGCAAGUCAGAUGUGAAAUACCCGGGCUUAACCUGGGGGGUGCAUUUGAAACUGUUUUCCUUGAGUGCAGGAGAGGCAAGUGGAAUUCCUAGUGUAGCGGUGAAAUGCGUAGAUAUUAGGAGGAACACCAGUGGCGAAGGGCGACUUGCUGGACUGUAACUGACGCUGAGGCACGAAAGCGUGGGGAGCAAACAGGGAUUAGAUACCCUGGUAGUCCACGCCGUAAACGAUGGAUACUAGGUGUAGGGGGCGAUAGUUCUCUGUGCCGCAGUAAACGCAAUAAGUAUCCCGCCUGGGGAGUACGAUCGCAAGGUUGAAACUCAAAGGAAUUGACGGGGGCCCGCACAAGCAGCGGAGCAUGUGGUUUAAUUCGAAGCAACGCGAAGAACCUUACCAAGGCUUGACAUCCCUUGAACGCUGUAGAGAUACAGAAUCCCUUCGGGGCAAGGAGACAGGUGGUGCAUGGUUGUCGUCAGCUCGUGUCGUGAGAUGUUGGGUUAAGUCCCGCAACGAGCGCAACCCCUAUUGCUAGUUGCCAGCAUGUAAAGAUGGGAACUCUAGUGAGACUGCCGGGGACAACUCGGAGGAAGGUGGGGACGACGUCAAAUCAUCAUGCCCCUUAUGUCUUGGGCUACACACGUGCUACAAUGGCCGGUACAAAGGGCAGCGAAGCCGUAAGGCUAAGCGAAUCUCAAAAAGCCGGUCCCAGUUCGGAUUGUGGGCUGCAACCCGCCCACAUGAAGUCGGAGUUGCUAGUAAUCGCGAAUCAGCAUGUCGCGGUGAAUGCGUUCCCGGGCCUUGCACACACCGCCCGUCA
rnacentral:rRNA from 1 species